rnacentral:rRNA from 1 species
UCGAUUUGGAGUUUGUUGCCUAGAGUGAUGGGCUCCGAAGCUAACGCGAUAAAUCGACCGCCUGGGGAGUACGGCCGCAAGGUUAAAACUCAAAUGAAUUGACGGGGGCCCGCACAAGCGGUGGAGCAUGUGGUUUAAUUCGAUGCAACGCGAAGAACCUUACCUGGUCUUGACAUCCACAGAAUCUUGCAGAGAUGCGAGAGUGCCUUCGGGAACUGUGAGACAGGUGCUGCAUGGCUGUCGUCAGCUCGUGUUGUGAAAUGUUGGGUUAAGUCCCGCAACGAGCGCGACCCUUAUCCUUUGUUGCCAUCGGUUUGGCCGGGAACUCAAAGGAGACUGCCGUUGAUAAAGCGGAGGAAGGUGGGGACGACGUCAAGUCAUCAUGGCCCUUACGACCAGGGCUACACACGUGCUACAAUGGCGUAUACAAAGGGAGGCGACCUCGCGAGACAAAGCGGACCUCAUAAAGUACGUCUAAGUCCGGNAUUGGAGUCUGCAACUCGACUCCAUGAAGUCNGGAAUCGCUAGUAAUCGUGAAUCAGAAUGUCACGGUGAAUACGUUCCCGGGCCU